GUCUUUUCGAGGUAGGAGUCGACUCCUGUGAGGUAUGGUGCUGGGUGCAGAUGCAGUGUGGCUCUGGAUAGCACCUUAUGGACAGUUGUGUCCCCAAGGAAGGAUGAGAAUAGCUACUGAAGUCCUAAAGAGCAAGCCUAACUCAAGCCAUUGGCACACAGGCAUUAGACAGAAAGCUGGAAGUUGAAAUGGUGGAGUCCAACUUGCCUGGACCAGCUUAAUGGUUCUGCUCCUGGUAACGUUUUUAUCCAUGGAUGACUUGCUUGGGUAAGGACAUGAAGACAGUUCCUGUCAUACCUUUUAAAGGUAUGGAGAGUCGGCUUGACUACACUGUGUGGAGCAAGUUUUAAAGAAGCAAAGGACUCAGAAUUCAUGAUUGAAGAAAUGCAGGUUAGUUUAAACUUUGAAGGAAAUUUUUAAGGUGGCAAAAGGUUUUGGUGGCAUAUACACCUUAAUCUGUAGAUGGGAGUGAUUAGCUGUUUAAAAGUUAAAAUGUGACUGAGAAGGAAAUUGAGUAGGGCAAAUUUUAAAUGGGUAUUAUUUUUCAUCUUCAAACAGGCAGACCUGUUAUCCUAAACUAGGGUUUUUAAUGACCACAACAAGCAAGCAUGCAGCUUACUGCUUGAAAGGGUCUUGCCUCACCCAAGCUAGAGUGCAGUGGCCUUUGAAGCUUACUACAGCCUCAAACUUCUGGGCUCAAGUGAUCCUCAGCCUCCCAGUGGUCUUUGUAGACUGCCUGAUGGAGUCUCAUGGCACAAGAAGAUUAAAACAGUGUCUCCAAUUUUAAUAAAUUUUUGCAAUCCAU
ensembl:lncRNA GAS5 growth arrest specific 5